CACGCUGGCGGCGUGCCUAAUACAUGCAAGUCGAACGCGAAAGGGGCUUCGGCCCUGAGUAGAGUGGCAAACGGGUGAGUAACGCGUGGGUGACCUACCUUCGAGUGGGGGAUAACGUUCCGAAAGGAACGCUAAUACCGCAUGACAUUCUGCCUUUGGACAGGCGGAAAUCAAAGCCGGGGACCGCAAGGCCUGGCGCUCGAUGAGGGGCCCGCGUCC
rnacentral:rRNA from 1 species